CACCGCGGUUAGACGAGAGGCUCAAGUUGAUGGCCUGCGGCGUAAAGAGUGGUUAAGAAAAUGAAAAAAUAGGGCCGAAUAACCUCAAGGCUGUUAUAAGCCCAUACGAGACCACGAAGCACAACUACGAAAGUGACCCUAAUAAUAUCUGAUUCCACGAGAGCCAUAUGAA
rnacentral:rRNA from 1 species